UGAGCAAUCUGCCCUUCUCUUCGGAAUAAGCGUUGGAAACGACGUCUAAUGCCGAAUACGACCUCCUUUCGCAUGAUCGGAGGUGGAAAGCUCCGGGCGGGGAAGGAUGAGCUCGCGGCCUAUCAGCUAGUUGGUGUGGGUAAUGGCCCACCAAGGCGACGACGGGUAGCCGGCCUGAGGAGGGCCGACCGGCCACACUGGGACUGAGACACGGCCCAGACCUCCGUACGGGGAGCAGC
rnacentral:rRNA from 1 species